CACCCGGCGCCGAGAGGCGUCGGCAUGGGGCGGCAGGAGUCAGCAGAGGCCAUAGGAGCCGGUUUGACCAGCCGGCAAAGGGC
rnacentral:ncRNA from 1 species